rnacentral:rRNA from 1 species
UACGUAGGGUGCAAGCGUUAAUCGGAAUACUGGGCGUAAAGCGUGCGCAGGCGGUGAUGUAAGACAGUUGUGAAAUCCCCGGGCUCAACCUGGGAACUGCAUCUGUGACUGCAUUGCUGGAGUGCGGCAGAGGGGGAUGGAAUUCCGCGUGUAGCAGUGAAAUGCGUAGAUAUGCGGAGGAACACCGAUGGCGAAGGCAAUCCCCUGGGCCUGCACUGACGCUCAUGCACG